rnacentral:rRNA from 1 species
CCCUUAGAUGUUCUGGGCCGCACGCGCGCUACACUGAUGCAUUCAACGAGUUUCUUCCUGGUCCGAGAGGAAUGGGUAACCUUUUGAAAGUGCAUCGUGAUAGGGAUAGACUAUUGCAAUUAUUGGUCUUCAACGAGGAAUUCCUAGUAGACGUAGUUCAUCAGACUGCAUCGAUUACGUCCCUGCCCUUUGUACACACCGCCCGUCGCUCCUACCGAUUGAAUGCUCAGGUGAGCCAUUCGGACUUUCAUCAUGCUGGUUUCCAGUUUUGAUGAAGGAAAGUCUUGUGAACCUUAUCACUUAGAGGAAGGAGAAGUCGUAACA